AGUGAACGCUGGCGGUAUGCCUAACACAUGCAAGUCGAACGGCACCACAGUAAGAGCUUGCUCUUACGUGUGUCGAGUGUCGGACGCUUGAGUAAUACUUCGGAAUCUACUUUUUCGGGGGUGCUAACGUAGGGAAACUUACUCUAAUACCGCAUUCGACCUACUUGUGUAAGCAGGGGAUCUUCUGACUUUUCGCUAUUGAAUGAGCCUAUGUCGGAUUAGCUAGUUGGCUGGUUUAAGGCACAACCAGGCGACGAUCCGUAGCUGGUCUGAGAGGACGAUCAGACAGACUGGAACUGAGAAACAGCACAGACUCCUACGCGAGGAAGCAGUGGGGAAUAUUGGACGAUGGGGGAAAGCCUAAUACAGGAAUACCGCGUGGGUGAAGAAGGAGUUCGGGUUGGAAAGCCAUUAAGUCGGGAAAGAAAAGAAGCAGGUUAACCCGCCACGGUUAUGACGGUACCGAAAGAAUAAGCACCGGCUAACUUCGUG
rnacentral:rRNA from 1 species